ACGGAAGGCUAGUAGUAUGGGCCCUUCCUGUAGUAAUGCAGGACAGCAAAUUUGGCUAUAUCGGUGGACACCCAGCACCAGUUGGUGCUGGACUAUACCGAGGCAACCCUUCGACUUCGCUCAUGGCAAGUCCCAGGAGAGUCCGUAGAGACUACACGCCAAAUACCCUUCGGGGUAAUGAUAUAGUCCGACACUCAAAGUAAUUUGAGA
rnacentral:ncRNA from 1 species